rnacentral:lncRNA from 1 species
CUGUUAUAAAAGUCAGUUUGGCUCUCUCUGGUGAAUCCCACCCCCACACCAUGUGAUGCUCUGUGUUACCUCAGGACUCUACAGAGACCCCACUAGCAAGAAGGCCCUCACUAGAUGAGAACCCUUGACCUUGUACUUCCCAGCAUCUAAAAUGCCAUCACAAGUUCUGCCAUCUGGGCCUUGCUUCAGACUGCAAAGACCCUUGUACCUUUUGGCUGAAGGUAAGAAUUCAGAAUGAACUGACAUUCAGCAUUAACCUGUAAAGUUGUGUACUACCUGCUCCUCAGCUUCAGCUUCAACCUUUGCAAGAUCUAACAGUUAAAUGGUUAAAUGACUACCUACUUCAAUGUGCUUUCUGGCAGCCAGAAUCUGCAUGCAAUCAAUGACCAUGUGACUAACGUAAGUUAUGGUCAUACCUAAUUAGUAUGACAUUCUGAUUAUUAACUGGAUAUUUCC